UGCUUACCAGAUAUCGUCCGAUUUUUUAAGCAAUAUCAGACGUCAUGUAAAAUAGGUCUGUGCGUCUAGAUAGGUAUCAAAACGGUCGUGUGUUCGAUAUAAUUUUAUAAUCUAUUUAUUAAGCUAUAUAUAUUAAUAAUAAUUAACAAUUUUACUCAUUGUUUCCGAUAAAAAUAUCAAUGCCGAUUGAAAAGGAUUUAUCUACCUAGACCCUAGGUGAUUCGAUUAUUUAUCUCGGAUAACUAUUGGUUCUAAUUUAUCUGCAGAUAUAUGAAAAGAAGUUAAAACCAUACCUAUCU